rnacentral:rRNA from 1 species
ACGCUCGACACCUACGGAGGCAGCAGUGGGGAAUAUUGCACAAUGGGGGAAACCCUGAUGCAGCGACGCCGCGUGGAGGAAGAAGGUCUUCGGAUUGUAAACUCCUGUUGUUGGGGAAAAAGAGGAUGGUACCCAACAAGGAAGUGACGGCUAACUACGUGCGAGCAGCCGGACGGUAAUCUGAGGCGGGCGUGGACGAAGGC